rnacentral:misc_RNA from 1 species
GAUGAAGAACGCAGCGAAAUGCGAUAAGUAAUGCGAAUUGCAGAAUUCAGUGAGUCAUCGAAUCUUUGAACGCACAUUGCGCCCUGUGGUAUUCCGCAGGGCAUGCCUGUUCGAGCGUCAUUUCAACCCUCAAGCCCCGCUUGGUGUUGGGCCCCGCCCGCCGUGGCCGGCCCUAAAGACAGUGGCGGCGCCGCCUGGCCCUCAGCGUAGUACAGCUCUCGCUCCAGGGUCCGGCGGCCGCCUGCCAGAACCCCCCCAACUCUGUGGUUGACCUCGGAUCAGGUAGGGAUACCCGCUGAACUUAAGCAUAUCAUAAGCGGAGGA